rnacentral:rRNA from 1 species
CAAUGCCGCGUGAGUGAAGAAGGCCUUCGGGUUGUAAAGCUCUUUUGUCAGGGAAGAAACGGUGGAGGUUAAUACCUUCCACUAAUGACGGUAACCUGAAGAAUAAGCACCGGCUAACUACGUGCCAGCAGCCGCGGUAAUACGUAGGGUGCAAGCGUUAAUCGGAAUUACUGGGCGUAAAGCGUGCGCAGGCGGUUUUGUAAGUCUGAUGUGAAAUCCCCGGGCUCAACCUGGGAAUUGCAUUGGAGACUGCAAGGCUAGAAUCUGGCAGAGGGGGGUAGAAUUCCACGUGUAGCAGUGAAAUGCGUAGAGAUGUGGAGGAACACCGAUGGCGAAGGCAGCCCCCUGGGUCAAGAUUGACGCUCAUGCACGAAAGCGUGGGGAGCAAACAGGAUUAGAUACCCUGGUAGUCCACGCCCUAAACGAUGUCUACUAGUUGUCGGGUUUUAAUUAACUUGGUAACGCAGCUAACGCGUGAAGUAGACCGCCUGGGGAGUACGGUCGCAAGAUUA